ACUCAAAUUUGAUUAAUACGUAUUCAAAAAAGUGUAAAGGCGGUUUGCCAAAAGUUGUAAUAUUUUGAUAGGUUCUAUGUUUCGUGUAAACGUUGUUUGCUUUUUAAUACAUCUGUCAGUGUCUCAAAACGAUUUUCCAAAAAGUUUUUGUUUUUAUCGCAAAAUUGGCACGACUCACCUCUCGCAGGAGUCAUUGGACAGCUUUGUUUAAAACGGACCACGGUGCCCCCAGAGAAUGCAAGUUUUCAUCGCAUUGCACCAUCUUCAGCCAGUGCAUUUCCGACGCGGUAAUAAUUUUCGAGUGCAGCUGAGGAGUUGAGCUUUCCACGCAGCGUUUCAGUUUACACGAUCUUCCUUACGAAAUUACACCGAUCGCUCGACGGCCUCAGAAGACCUCAAACUUCAACGCUUCCCAGAUCGGAAGCCCGUAAACCCACGAUGUUUUGUAAGGCAACGAUGUUUUUCGAAAAUUUCGAUGAACUGUAUGCUGUGCGUUAGAGUGAAAGAGAAAGCAUGCUAAGUAUUUUCAUCGAAGUUUCGCUCAGCAUGCUAUCUCGUUCUUUCGUGAUUGCGAAAAUUUGGAAGAACUGUCAAAGUGCCACACAGCCAUCUUGAUUUUGGACAAGUUUGUUCAAGUCGGGAAAAUUUUGAAAAAAAAAAACAGUUUUACGGCAUGCAACCUGCUGCUGAACAAAAAUGACUCCGUGCCUGCAUCGCCGACCGGAACCUGCCUGCAAGUGCCAACCCUCGGAAGGACAAUCUCUGCCGGCAAUGACCAACUCAAUCCGAAGUGCCAGCUGAGCUCAGGGAAAAUGGCCACGGUGGUUCCAAAGGAACUGAAAUGAAUUUUAACUCCAAAGAUGCUCCCGGAACCUGAUCCGGAUCAACUGCAAGGAAGCCUACCGCGGCAUCGCGAACAAACGCAACCUCCAAGAUUGGCCAUUCGCAGCAGUGAGACCAGCAUCGGGCUGCUCAAUGCAUAAAGCCGUUCAAUGACCCACCACAGCCGCCAUCGCCCUCGCAACAGAAUGGCCACAUCGGCGUCGGAAGUUUCGUCGCGAGUAAGCGCCGGGGACAAUUCGUCGUCCGCCUAAGAACUUCUACAUUAAUCUGCCGCAGAGGUUCCAGAAGCGUAAGGCAGAGCGAAAACCUUCCGGAACAGUCUGAAAGGAAGUCAACCGAAAGCCGGUGGUAGCGGAACCAAUGUUGCGAGAUUUUAGGUCAAAUAAUUUUGCACCACCCCAAAAAAGUGGGUUUUUAUGAUGGAGAUGGAUCGACCAGGACGUCGACCGGAGAUGACAUAUGGCACAUCGGCGGAAUCGACCUCGCUUGACGUCAACAAGCUGAGGAACCAUACUUCCGUUACGCUCAAAUCGGCAUCGGCCGCCAUCAGGGGCAAAGCAUCGUUUACGAUUCAAGCCGUGAGAACAUGGCCAAGGUCGGGGUCGGUGACCUGAGCCGGUCAAAUCGAGAACAGAGUCAAUAACAAGACGAUUCCGGGAGGCCAUCAACGGAAUCUGGCGAUGCAGGUUGUAAGCCGAUUGCGGCCAUGAAGACGAUAGCUGACAGGAUCUGUUGUUCCAGAACAUGGAAGGUUUUUUUUUAUUUGCAGCGUCUCUAUCAGUGGCAUCGGUACCACUCGGGACUCCUCCGACGAUAGCGUGGUCAACACUACGAGGAACGUUCUGACACCGAGAUCAAGAAGGAAGCUUGAAAGAUUCCUCAGCGACCGGAAGAGCAUAAGCUGACACUUAACAAAACAAGCAUCAGCAGCAAGCUUCGUUCGUCAACCCGCCAAGGAUUGUCGUUCAGCGGCCCACCAUCGACCUGUACGCCGAGGUCAAGGAACGUCUCAUGUUGCGUCGCGAGAAGGACCUGUGAAGGGAGAUGGAACGCAAGCAGGCCACGGCCGGAAAUCUGCAGGAGCUGGAGCAGAAGCUGAAGAACAAGAGGGUGAAGACGGAGGGCAGGGGUCUUCACUGGUCAAGGACGUUCAGCGAAUCGAGCAAGGGAAAGAGCCGUAGCGGUCAAGGUGGCGAUUAGAAUGACAAAAGAUCAACGGUACGAAAGGCACGAUCGGUACGGUGGAGAAUGUGAUGGACCUCUUCGGCUGCUGUCGCAGCAUUGGGAGCACAACAUCCAGAAAUUUUCACCCAGCCGUAUUCCGGAAUAGCCACGCGUGACGGCUAUGUCCUGACAAGUGCCCUCGGAAAAGAUUCGAAGGACGGGCACGGCCCUGCAAGUGCGCACCUAACGACGGUUGUAAUGCUGCACGAACGAACCAGACAAGUUUGUCAACUUUAUAACCCGUGUCCAUCCCGUCCUUUAGUGCAUUUACUCAAUGGACCAGUCUCUCGGCGAUUCUCGUUAAUUCUCCCCCAGGAAGUGCGCCAGGUUAACCCCACGACUGCAGCUGCCACAGGUGACCUGGGCCUCCUGGGAACAUCGAACGCCGCCGCUCAAUUCCGCCACCGCCACCAAGAAGCCCCUCAAAUGGUCAAUCCAGUGAAGGUGAAUUUUAGCACUGACCAACAAAAUCAAAUGUCAAUCGCUGAAUCGGGUGAUACACUUGGGGACAAAGUCGGAAAACAAGAACCAGAUCCUGCUUCCCGGUUUAUACCAUGAUCAACGUUAGCCAGAACUGUCGUUAGGAGGACUACAGGGCGGUCAGUUUACCUCCUCGGACGGAUUUUAAUUCCCGGGAGUUUAUCAUUCAGUUCCAGAAUCAAACAACGGCCUCGCAGCUAGAACACCUUGGAGGUCAACCAAUGCCCUGUAAGGACAGCUCAAAAAACCUGUUUGAUCCCAGCCUGCUUUACUACGAGGGGAGCAAUGGGACCACGGCCGAGAACCGAGGAGUGAGCAGCGCUGCCCACCGGACAGAAAGGAACUGGCCCCGCGAGCAGCAAAAAGCAAGUCACGUUCCGUCCCAUCCCGGCGAAGCGUAGGAACCGGUGAGCAGUCUACAACCUCAGCUCUGAUGGAAGGUCAUGUGCCCUCGGAACGAAAGAUCAACCGGAACCGGUUUACGUUCCCGGUCAACUCUUUUGGUUCUUGCAAUCCGGAACUGCCACGCGCAACAUGCAGCACGGAACAGGCUCGCGGAACGGUCGCCAUAGCUCUGGAUUAGAUUCGCCGGACGGCGGCCAACCUGUAAAUGCUCUCGAAACCCUCGGAAUUACACUGGACGGAACAGGCUCGCCGGAUGGUCACCGUCCUGCAAGUGCGCUCGGCACGAUGGACUAAAACCUGCACGGACGCGCCAAGAUCUAACGAAUCCGGUCCACAAUCCUGGCCUAUUGUUUGACUAAUUUCGGUUCACGCAAUCCGCAAUCGCCAAGUGAAACGACAAUAGACCUCGAGGUUCUGUCGGAAAGAGGCAGCACGGAACAGGACUGCCGGGCGGUUGCCAACCUACAAGUGCUUUCGGAACAACGCUGGACGGACACGGUCCCUGGAAAUUCGUUCAGAAAGACGCAACACGGAACAGACACGACGCCCUGAAAAUUUCCCUCGGAACGUCGCUCAUGGACAGGCUCGGCGGACGGUCGCCGCCCUGCAGGUGUCCUCGGAAUCACGGAUGAAAUGCUGCACGAACGCGUCCAGGUCUAAAUCAACCGGAGCAGGUCCUCACGUUCCUGGAGCGUUCCCUUGAAGACAUUCAAACCGGUGAAUUGAUGUGCAUUAGAUUAAAUUAACUUAUUGCUUACAAUUUUAUGAAAAUAAACAAAUCGAA
rnacentral:lncRNA from 1 species